AAAGACCAGACCUCAUUUCAAAUAACGUUACUUCGAGGACCACCCAUCCACCAACUUUCAGAACUUGGUGUCAAAACACUAUCAGCAGCCACCACCACUUGACAUGAAUUGCAUCUCCCUGCCCACAGCCCUCACGUGUACCCUCCCACCCUCUGCUCCAAGCCUGCAUUUCUGGACAUCAGCCUCAAUUUUCCUAGGAAAAACAAAUUUAACCUUUGAUUUAACCUUUCUGCAAGCUAUUUUUACUUCUAUCUCAAGCUUAUUUUAACCUCAGUAGCCAAUAAAUGCUUAAAGGUCAAACACUAUUCCUAAGAGCCGGGUUCCUCACCCCUGGGAGAAAGCCUGAGAUGAUUGAUUAUUUUUUUUUUUUAAAAUUUUUAUUUCACACACACCACACCCCCCGCCCCCCCCNNNNNNNNNNAUGCAAAAGCCCCUCUUAGAAACGUCCCAGCGGUAGGAAACCUGUAAGUCAACAAUUUUCCCUGUGGGUGCCGAGAGAAGGAGCUGGGAAUUUUCCCUCUGCACGCCAUCCUUCCCACUCCAAACCCGCGCAGGAUGUACAGAAUCCAAAGCUGCCCACAGAGCAGGCUGGAAGACACAGCAGCCAGAGGAUGAAGCUCCCUCAAAAGAAGAGGAUUCUCUCCUUGCCCUCACCCCAGGCUGUCUUCUCAGUGCUAACAAAGUCAUUAAACCAAACUUUUGGGUGCCGAGGGUGCGUAGCUUGAAACUUUUUGCCCAAACUGCUGACAUCCAUCUUCCUCCAGCUGGAAGGCACGGGUGCUGCGCUUGCAGGUACAGAGUGCUGCAUCAUGUUAAAUGCUCUGAAAAAGCAGAUAUUACUCUUCUCGGACGGAAUACCCUGAAUUAGUCAAAACUGACCUUAAUCCAUCCAUGGUGUCACCCUGGCCCGUCUUCGUAACGAGUGUUGGGGGAGGAUUAAUGGAGGUGCUGAAGUGCUGAUGCAGUGUAGUGGAAACUAUUGUAGGAAAAAAAAAAAAGGCACAAGGAAAUUAAUAAUUCUGUCUUUGGAGGAACCUGCCGACCUCCCCGUGUCGGUCCUGUGCAGCGCUAUGGCCUUUCUGGCCAUUCCUCCAGCAUUCCUGGACCACAGGAGGUUCCAAAUCCAGCGUGUCCAUAGCGUGGCCAAAUCCAGGUAAGACACCAGUUCCUGGGCACGCACACACAGCAGGCCCUCACCAUCCCUAGGCCUCAACAUCAGUGCCACCUUCUUUUUUUUUUUCUCACUAUCCAGAAGAGGAGCACCCCCAUUCUGCUCUGAAAACCCCCACUUGGGAGUGUUGGAGGUGCUUUUUCUAUGGCUGCAAAAUCCCAAAGAGGUCCAAUGUGUGAAUGACAUGCGGAGGGAUGGCCUGGGACCAUCUGCAGGACAACGGGAACACGCCAGCGUCACCCAGCCCCUCGCUGACCAUCUCACCUGCUGGAAUGGAAGAAAAAGAGCAUCACGCAAUUAAAAUCUCUAUUUGCUUCCACCUGAGUUGCACUGGCAGCAAGAAAUGGGGCAUUUCUGCAUUUUGAGUGCUUUCCUGGGCAGUGGUGACCAAACGCGUAACAGAUUUUGGGCUACCGUAUAUGCACCCUCAGAGAGAACGUGCAUCCAAAUACAUACACGUGACACAUAUGUAUAAAAUAUACAGAGAUAACGCUUGCCGGAUGGAUCUAGAGAAAGGUCACGUAUAGGAUGCAUACCAUACUGGGUUUACAUAGUAUGACAUUUCUGUAACAUUUCUGAAGAGCUCUGACAGGGUGUUGUCAGCUGGCAUUUGCUAAGAGAAGAAAUAAAUCUAAUAAUAAAAACA
rnacentral:lncRNA from 1 species